rnacentral:rRNA from 1 species
UACGUAGGGUGCAAGCGUUAUCCGGAAUUAUUGGGCGUAAAGAGCUCGUAGGCGGUUUGUCGCGUCUGCUGUGAAAACCCGAGGCUCAACCUCGGGCCUGCAGUGGGUACGGGCAGACUAGAGUUCGGUAGGGGAGACUGGAAUUCCUGGUGUAGCGGUGAAAUGCGCAGAUAUCAGGAGGAACACCGGUGGCGAAGGCGGGUCUCUGGGCCGAUACUGACGCUGAGGAGCGAAAGCGUGGGGAGCGAACAGGA